CCUACGGGAGGCAGCAGUGAGGAAUAUUGGUCAAUGGGCUUACGCCUGAACCAGCCAAGUCGCGUGAGUGAAGACUGCCCUAUGGGUUGUAAACCUCUUUUGUCAGGGAGCAAUUGGCGCUACGUGUAGCGUUAUCGAGAGUACCUGAAGAAAAAGCAUCGGCUAACUCCGUGCCAGCAGCCGCGGUAAUACGGAGGAUGCGAGCGUUAUCCGGAUUUAUUGGGUUUAAUGGGUGCGAAGGGGGAAGGCCACGUCACCGGUAAAAUCGCGGGGCUCAAUCUCGCUCCGCCGUUAAAACUGGCGUUCUUGAGUGGGCGAGAGGUAUGCGGAAUGCGUGGUGUAGCGGUGAAAUGCAUAGAUAUCAGGCAGAACACCGAUUGCGAAGGCAGCAUACCGGCGCCCAACUGACGCUGAGGCACGAAAGCGUGGGUAUCGAACAGGAUUAGAUACCCUAGUAGUC
rnacentral:rRNA from 1 species